CACGUCUUCCUAACCGGCCUUUAAUGGUGAUUCCCAAUUUUCCUUUAUAAGAAUUCCAAACCGCCAAGUCAGCAAAUCGCACUGCUGGUUGACCAUCAUAAUUUAUAAACGUAGAAUUACGGGAUUGAAUAGUUUCAGCAUCAUCGCCUACAUAAGGCUCCGAUUGUACAUCGGUCACAACACAAACAAAGCCCUCGCAACCAAUUUUUUCAGGAACAGCUUCGUUAUCCUCAGUGACUAACAUUAGUUUUUUAACGGUUUUACCAGGGAAAUAGACAAGCUCUUUGUUAUGCAGUGUGUCUUUCCCAUUGUAAGCCAAAAAUGAAACCAAUCCCGACUCAGUAGUACCAUACUGUGGAUAAAUGGUCGCAUUUGGUAAUACUCGUUUGCAUGUAUGAUACAUGUUUGCAGGGACCAUUUCACCGCCUGCUGCUACUAGUUUACAAGCAGGAAAGCAUUCUUCCUUGUCAGGCAUUAUUUGGAGAGUUAGAACAAGGAGAUUGGGUAAAAUAAUUAAACGUUCGCAUCCAGCACGAAGAGCAUAGUAAACAUUCCAAGCAAGCCGUUCAGCCUCUGAAGUGCAAGUAGCCGAUAUCGAAGAGGAUGGGUACAGUAAGUUCCCAUUACAAUACAAGGCAUUAAUCCAACUCAAGGUUGUUAAAGCAAAGCUGGUAGCCAUUACCAUUGGAGUGGAGAGAUGAUUCAUAAAUUCAGGAGUUCCAUAGUCAUAACCCAAAGCAUAUUUCUUCAUGAGAAAUGGCAUGGAUUUAGGGACUCCUGUGGACCCACUAGAAUGGUUAAUAAGAGCGACUUCCGGCUCUAAUCCAGCUCGAAUACAAGGAGCAUCGAUAUCCAGCGGCAGCGAAGCCAAGGAUGUAGCAUUUAAG